ensembl:lncRNA
GUUGGGUAAGAGUGGUUCCUGCGAGCAGAGCUGGUGGGGCAGGGAAGAGGUGGUGACAAAGCUGCGGUUCUCUCUUAUUUCUUAAUUGGAGGUUAUUCUAAGGGCAAACAAAUGCCUGCCUUCUCCUUCCUGUGCUUCAUGUUGCUAUGAAAGGGGAGGAAGUGGGUGGAGGAGAGCAACAUUUCACUUCUCCCUUUGGUUGGGGACUGACAUGUUUCAGAGAUGGGUUACCCCCAACAGCAUCCCAGGACCCUCGUGCUCACCCUAAGAGGAGAAGGGAUUUCUUUUGAAUUUACCAAGAGGACGCCAGCCUCAGAGCAGCCUUUUUAAAAUACCAUAGGCCUGCCUCAUAGUUCAUUUUUACCCCAAAAGGCAAGUCACAUUCAAGGAGUAAAAUAAAAGGAUUACUUGUGUCUCAUAUGCAGCAGGUGCAUCCCUGGACCCUCAUGGCCUAAUACAGCACCAAACAGUUCACAAUGCACCUUGCUGGGACUUGGUGAGCACUGGAUCAUGAUCUGCAGAAACAGACAUUCUCCAGCCAGCUGCAGGGCAACGCAAAGGUUGGCAUACGGCUGCAGCAGAUUGCCAGAAGCCCUUUUGGAAACGAAUGUGCUGACUGCCUCUGUCCCAUCAGGGAUUUUCCCCAACAGCUCUGAUGUUCUCAGCUUCUGCAUAACUGGCACGUGGGAGGGGGUUUCAGCCUUCUCUUGGCUGCUCCACAGCCACGUUCCAGCUCCCUGCAGCAAUGGAUAGGCUCCAGCAUCAACCAAGCAAGCUGUGUUUGGGGCAUCAUCCUCUGGCUGCCCCUUUCUGCUCUGCUGGCUGAGCCAAACCCCUUCCAGCCAAACACCACAGAUGGCUAAUUAGUAUCAUGGGGAGAGCAAAGCUGCUCCCUGGCCUUCUGUGCUGGAAAACGACUAGUCAUUUUGCAGAUGACAUCCAUUGCUGCUCUGACUUUGCAGCAUGCAAAUCCAAGCAGCACAGGCCUGCCCUUGGGCGCUGGUGAGCUGAAUGGAGAGCUGAAUGCAGAGAAAUGAGGCGUGCGAAGGAAGAAAGCAUUGUCUGGAGCAUCUUGUCGUUGAGAGCAUGGGUAAAGGGCCCCAUGGAGGUGCCAAUAGCUGCCCUUGCUGGAAGUCCUCUCUGGCUUCUAUUCACUCUCCUCUUGCUCCUGAAUUCCUGAUGUCCCUUGGAGGUUUUCCACUGGCAGAAACAGUUGGUUUCCAGGAUCUCUGCAUUCCCACUGACCUCUUAUCUGAACCCUACCCAAAUCCACCUAAAAAAUACCAUCAGAACUACUUCAAGGCACUAUCACAGUCUCUAACCCUUCAAAUUGCCUCUUGUCACUUAACUAUGCUAACUACAGUGUACCAAUUAGCUCUCAGUACAAAUUCACCCAAUACCUUUGACUCAGAGCCCUUCACUGACCAAGUCUCCAGGGCCAAUAGGUCUGGGAGCUAAUCUGUGGAUCUGAGAGUCAUGGAUUUGUCUCAUACAGGCACAAAAUUGCCCUCUGAAAUCACUGAUGCCUGGAGAAUUCCCUUCUUCCCUCACUUAGGCUUGAAACGCACCCUCAUAGGAUUUCAGCCUAUGAACGUAUUGUUCAUUGCAUUCUGCACACCUGCUGAACAAAACACAACCUUCGCCUCAACACAGUGACAAUUUGUAAGUAAUAAAAAUAAAAUCAACGUAAAAGGGCAAUAUAAUAAGGUAUUUUUGAAAUGUAUAAUUGCAGUUUGGUUUGUAUUUCCCUGUAAACCUCUGGGUGCUUUAUAUAAGCACUUCAAAAAUGCUAACAUUUCAUUUAUCACCUCUCAAAAUGAUUACUUUGGUAAAUGAUCUUUGUUUGGGGGAAGCCAAUAUUAAAAAG